UUUUUUUUUUUUUUUUUAAAUUUAAAAAUUAGUUUAUUUUAUUUGAUGGCGUUAAACAUUUAAAUAUGGUAUUUGUUUGGCCUAAAUUUUAAAUAUCGUCCUUUUGUUUUUUAAUAUCAUGUAGUUAAUGGACCAUAAUGUCCUUAAUCCUAAAUGCCUUUUCAGUUUUCACUACCUGCAAUCGUAUUUCUCCCCACCCACAAAAUCCCUACUUCUACCUUGAACAGAAGUAAUACUGUCCAUCGUUCCCCUGUCUUCACAAACGUUCAUUAUGAAGGGCUUCACAAACAUUCAUGUUGUAUUGAUGAAUUCUCCAUCUUGGUUUUCUCCAAUUGCAGGUAGCGACCACAGACUCUGAAUUCUCCACUCCCGCGUAGGGACUAGCUCUGAAUUCAAUGACUAGCAAGGCAGCGAUGACUCAGUAUUCGGGGAAGAGACGAGAAGGCAACAAUGAAGUUCGACAUUGUGUGAUUGUUGAUCGACAGGCUCUGCUGCUGCGAUCGCACCCUACAGCAUAAAGGGUUUAUGCGAUUUAGAGAAUAAGGCAAUGACAUGUUGACUUGCGGAGAACAAAUUCUGGCACUAUUAUCUAGGGCUUUUUCAAGGAAUGCUCUCUGUAACAUUUGCUACCUCACCUCACCUGUUGUUGGCGACCUCAACUCAUCUCUUUCCACCGGCGACCUCGACUCAUCUCUUUCCACCAGCGACCUCGUCUCAUCUCUUUUUACCGGCGACCUCGGGCUCACCUCACCUGACCGAAGACUGCAACGAAUGCUCAACGUUAUAACCCCUAGCUACGAUUAAGGAAAUGUGAAAAUAUGAUGGUUUCGAGGUUAAAGAUGCGUCGGUUCCUGAAAGUGCCAACGGCGCUGAGGCGGCGACUGUGAGGAAGUCGAACUUGGCUGAAACAAUUGUGAUAGGUAAUACAUGACCAUUAUGUUUGUCAUUAUGUUUGUGACAAGGAGCUCAUAGAGUCGGACAACAGGAGGUUGUUAAUAUCUAUAUGUUUGUGACAAGCAAGAGUGUUGAGGAAGACAUCUUGGAACGUGCAAAAAAGAAGAUGGUACUUGACCAUUUGGUUAUUCAGAAACUAAAUGCAGAGGUAGGUUCCGUUGAUCACAAGUGUGUGUGUGUGUGUGUAUAUAUAUAUAUAUAUAUAUAUAUAUAUAUAUAUAUAUAUAUAUAUAUAGAGGGAGAGGUAGGUUCCGUUGACAUUAAAAAUAAAAUAGAGAUCUUGAGAUUUAACCUCAGCCACGUAUUUCACAUAUGCCGCUAUAACCCUCCGGCGUACCGACACGACAGACCUAGUAUAAUCAUAAAUGAUUAUACAGCGCCGCCCGUUCCUUUCCUCUCCGCCACCAUCCCCACCACCAUAACUUCCACCGCCACCACCACUACAACCACCUCUGACAGCAGCCGACCCGACAACUAUCAUAUCCGUCACUUAUACCACCACCACCUCUGUCACCACCACCUAUUAUGCCCCUAACUGUCAUAAUCAUAUAUGAUUACUCAAUCUGUAAAUAGACAUAUAUGUAUAAUCAUUUAUGAUUAGGCAUAUGUGUAUAAACAUAUAUGAUUAUACCUAUCUACCAUAUAAUCAUUUAUGAUUAGGCAUACCGCGUUGCUGCCGGUACGCUUGAGCGUUAGAGCGGCAAAUAAGAAUAUAUGGCUGAGGUUGAAUCUCAAUAUCUCUACUUUUUUUUAAUCUCAAGUGAACCAUCCCAUAAAUAAAUAAAUAAAUAUAUAUAUAUAUAUAUAUAUAUAUAUAUAUAUAUAUAUAUAUAUAUAUAUGUGUGUGUGUGUGUGUGUGUGUGUGAAUGAAUUUUAAGGAGUCACCUAAUUCAUUUUGUUAUGGUUCCAUAAUGAGUUAUCAACUAUUUCGAGAUUUGGGGAUGAGGAACUGUUUAAAGAAGAUAAAAAUGAGGAAGAAAGCAAAAAGUGGCUUCUAAUCAUGGAUAUUGAUGAGAUUCUUGAAAGAGCAGAGAAAGUUGAACAGAAAGGUGCUGAAGACGAGGCAUGACAUGAAUUACUAAGUGCAUU